rnacentral:rRNA from 1 species
GACGAACGCUGGCGGCGCGCCUAACACAUGCAAGUCGAACGAGAGAUGAGGAGCUUGCUCUUCAAAUCGAGUGGCGAACGGGUGAGUAACGCGUGAGGAACCUGCCUCAAAGAGGGGGACAACAGUUGGAAACGACUGCUAAUACCGCAUAAGCCCACGGCUCGGCAUCGAGCAGAGGGAAAAGGAGCAAUCCGCUUUGAGAUGGCCUCGCGUCCGAUUAGCUAGUUGGUGAGGUAACGGCCCGCCAAGGCGACGAUCGGUAGCCGGACUGAGAGGUUGAACGGCCACAUUGGGACUGAGACACGGCCCAGACUCCUACGGGAGGCAGCAGUGGGGAAUAUUGCACAAUGGGGGAAACCCUGAUGCAGCGACGCCGCGUGGAGGAAGAAGGUCUUCGGAUUGUAAACUCCUGUUGUUGAGGAAGAUAAUGACGGUACUCAACAAGGAAGUGACGGCUAACUACGUGCCAGCAGCCGCGGUAAAACGUAGGUCACAAGCGUUGUCCGGAAUUACUGGGUGUAAAGGGAGCGCAGGCGGGAGAACAAGUUGGAAGUGAAAUCCAUGGGCUCAACCCAUGAACUGCUUUCAAAACUGUUUUUCUUGAGUAGUGCAGAGGUAGGCGGAAUUCCCGGUGUAGCGGUGGAAUGCGUAGAUAUCGGGAGGAACACCAGUGGCGAAGGCGGCCUACUGGGCACCAACUGACGCUGAGGCUCGAAAGUGUGGGUAGCAAACAGGAUUAGAUACCCUGGUAGUCCACACCGUAAACGAUGAUUACUAGGUGUUGGAGGAUUGACCCCUUCAGUGCCGCAGUUAACACAAUAAGUAAUCCACCUGGGGAGUACGACCGCAAGGUUGAAACUCAAAGGAAUUGACGGGGGCCCGCACAAGCAGUGGAGUAUGUGGUUUAAUUCGACGCAACGCGAAGAACCUUACCAAGUCUUGACAUCCCUUGACGAUGCUGGAAACAGUAUUUCUCUUCGGAGCAAGGAGACAGGUGGUGCAUGGUUGUCGUCAGCUCGUGUCGUGAGAUGUUGGGUUAAGUCCCGCAACGAGCGCAACCCUUAUGGUCAGUUACUACGCAAGAGGACUCUGGCCAGACUGCCGUUGACAAAACGGAGGAAGGUGGGGAUGACGUCAAAUCAUCAUGCCCUUUAUGACUUGGGCUACACACGUACUACAAUGGCGUUAAACAAAGAGAAGCAAGACCGCGAGGUGGAGCAAAACUCAGAAACAACGUCCCAGUUCGGACUGCAGGCUGCAACUCGCCUGCACGAAGUCGGAAUUGCUAGUAAUCGUGGAUCAGCAUGCCACGGUGAAUACGUUCCCGGGCCU